rnacentral:other from 19 species
CGCUAUCAUCAUUAACUUUAUUUAUUACCGUCAUUCACUUCUGAAUGUCUGUUUACCCCUAUUUCAACCGAAUGCUUCGCAUUCGUUUUUUUUA